rnacentral:rRNA from 1 species
CGAGUCGAGCGGUAGAGAGGUGCUUGCACCUCUUGAGAGCGGCGGACGGGUGAGUAAUGCCUAGGAAUCUGCCUGGUAGUGGGGGAUAACGCUCGGAAACGGACGCUAAUACCGCAUACGUCCUACGGGAGAAAGCAGGGGACCUUCGGGCCUUGCGCUAUCAGAUGAGCCUAGGUCGGAUUAGCUAGUUGGUGGGGUAAUGGCUCACCAAGGCGACGAUCCGUAACUGGUCUGAGAGGAUGAUCAGUCACACUGGAACUGAGACACGGUCCAGACUCCUACGGGAGGCAGCAGUGGGGAAUAUUGGACAAUGGGCGAAAGCCUGAUCCAGCCAUGCCGCGUGUGUGAAGAAGGUCUUCGGAUUGUAAAGCACUUUAAGUUGGGAGGAAGGGCAUUAACCUAAUACGUUAGUGUUUUGACGUUACCGACAGAAUAAGCACCGGCUAACUCUGUGCCAGCAGCCGCGGUAAUACAGAGGGUGCAAGCGUUAAUCGGAAUUACUGGGCGUAAAGCGCGCGUAGGUGGUUCGUUAAGUUGGAUGUGAAAGCCCCGGGCUCAACCUGGGAACUGCAUUCAAAACUGUCGAGCUAGAGUAUGGUAGAGGGUGGUGGAAUUUCCUGUGUAGCGGUGAAAUGCGUAGAUAUAGGAAGGAACACCAGUGGCGAAGGCGACCACCUGGACUGAUACUGACACUGAGGUGCGAAAGCGUGGGGAGCAAACAGGAUUAGAUACCCUGGUAGUCCACGCCCGUAAACAAUGUCAACUAGCCGUUGGGAGCCUUGAGCUCUUAGUGGCGCAGC